rnacentral:pre_miRNA from 14 species
UUUUAAGCAAACUUACUAAUAGUGGUGAAAGACCCCCGGAGCGGGGAGACCCUCACUCAAGUCUCGGGAUGAUGCGACCCCCCAAGAACUCACGUGAGACC